CAAACUACAAUUCCCAGCAUACACUACAGCAGGAACCCCCCAGGCCUCAGUAUGGCGCGCACAUCGCUCGGUGAAAUACGAAUUCUACUAUUACCCGCAUUCCACUUUGUCAGAGGAAAAGGCUUGGAAUCUUUUGAGGGUUCGCCUGCAACUUGAACUGCUCUCAAUGAAAUACAAUAUAAUGCUGUUCUUUAAUCCCAUAUUGCAAAGAUAUGUAAGGGUCACGAUUGAUGACUAGCUCAAGAUUUCAACCUUACCGCCACUUGUUAUGUCGAUAACUAGCAGUACAAUAUAAGAGAGAGGAGCCACUGAUGCAGUAACUAUUAUUAAUUUCAGACUCCUCAUGCCAGGGGUGAAAUUCACUUACCUUCCCUACUGGUUCGCAAAUGUGGGCGCACUCACUUUGCUCGCGCGCACCUGCACUGCCAGCACAUAGGACAGGGCAGCAGCACAUUGGGGAAGCGGAGUGGAGGCGGAGAUCGGUAAUUUUCGCUGCAAGAAGCCUGCAGCCACGUCAGCUGCAAGCAUCUCGCAACAAGGGGCGAGAUGCGGGCUGGCAGGGAGCCCAGCGGCAACAACGGCUCAAUCCUGUCUUGCCUUUCCUGGUAGCCAGCUAGGGGAGGAAGUGACAGCUGGCCUAAGUGACAUCAGGGGAUCAACAAAAGGGAAUGCCCGGAAUAUUUUCACAUAUCUGAAGUAGCUGAAGAUGAGGACUCCCCAAAAUAAUGUCAUUAGCAAGAUGUUCCAACCGGCAACAUGAAUCCAAUUUGGUCUGAAAAACAAUAUAAUUUGUACUUUUAAAAAACUAAUUAAGUGUAACAAAACUAGCAUAUAAAGCACAUAGUUUAUUUAUUAAUAUAAUCAGAGCAAUUAAAAUAUUAAAGGAGAUAGUAAUUUUUUCUGAACAUUCUUAAAAGUUAUUUCAGUAAUGCAACUUAAAAGGUGAAACUAAUAUAUGAGAUAGACUCAUUACAUGCAAAGCAAGAUAGUUCAAGCCUUGAUUUGUCAUAAUUUUGAUGAUUAUGGCUUACAGCUCAUGAAAACUCCAAAUUCACAAUCUCAGAAAAUUAGAAUAUUGUGAAAAGGUUCAAUAUUCUAGGCUCAAAGUGUCCCACACUAAUCAGCUAAUUAAGCCAUAACACCUGCAAAGGGUUCCUGAGCUUUUAAAUGGUCUCUCAGUCUGGUUCACAAUCAUGGGAAAGACUGCUGACCUGACAGCUGUGCAGAAAACCAUCAUUGACACCCUCCAUAAGUCUAUCUCAUAUAUUAGUUUCACCUUUUAAGUUGCAUUACUGAAAUAAAUGAACUUUUGCAUGAUAUUCUAAUUUUUCGAGUUUCACCUGUAUUUCCAGGCUAUAAUGUCAAGAUAACAAAGGCCAGAUUUGUGGUUUACAGACAUUGCAGAAUUUCACUUAUCGUUUCCAGUUUAUACCAUCCCAGCAUAAUUCCAUGUCCCUUUUAAAAGCUCUGGAUUACAAUCCUUUCUAGAAAUAUUCAGAUCUAAAACACCUUCUCACCACCCCAAAGGGCGCAGCAUAAACCCUGCAUAUUCCCUACUGUUAACUCUGCCAUCAUACUAUACCAGAUCAGGAGAUACUACUAUAGGAUUGAACAGAAUUAAGUAUAACAUUAAACAUUCCUUGACUUAUCGAUCUUUCAGUAUUAAAUAGGCAACCAUCUUCCUGCACUGCCUCCUGAAUUCUGCAAAAAGCAAAAAGCUGUUCUCUGCAUAAAAUAAUAAAUGGUCAUUAACCUGACAUCUGAAAGGCCAGUGUUAAGAAAUCAAUGAGAACAGUUCAGCCUUUUCAGCCAUUUUGUGCCUGUCUUCAAAAUAAGACUUCAAAAGGAAAAUGAAUUAUAAUUUAUAAGGAAGUUUUAUAUAUUUUUUUAUUAUACCAGAGACCAGAACAAAUAAAAGCACUCAGUAUAUAUAUAUACUUAAAAAUUCCAAAUGCAAAACUGAGGAGAGGAGUUUCAGUUUUACUUUCACAGCAGCAACCAGGGGAUAGGAUACGGGAUGCUUCUGUGAGACAAGCCUGAGGGAGAGAAGGGGGAUAGAAUAGGAUAGGAUUCUGUGGGGCAAGUCUGAGGGAGAGAAGGGGGAUAGAAUAGGAUAGGAUUCUGUGGGGCAAGGCUGAGGGAGAGAAGGGGAUAGGAUAGGGAAGGCUUCUGUGAGGCAAGGCUGAGCGAGAGGAGAAGCCGAUCGUAACUACUCAUUAAUUUUGAAGCUAUAAGUGUCGAUUUAUCAAGCCCCAUCACAUAGUUUCGUAGCAAAGCACGGGUAUCCAGCUAGUGUAUAAUAAAACCCAGUGUCAAUUAUACAUGGUCUGACUAUAUGAUAGUUGCAAUCCCAAAACUGUGUGGCCCGUUUAGGUUCAACACUAAAAGGGAAAUGACUAAGCAGCGCAAAGGGUUUGUCACAAUUGUCAUAUAACAUUGCUAUGGUGAGAAGACACGUGUUUGCAAUGAAUCCCCAUUGCUGCUGUGCAGAAUCUAGCCACCUGCACUGUAGUAAUUGACUGUUCAUCCUUAAGCAGCCACUGAAGGUAGGUAGUGUCGGAACGGCCAGGAUACCUAGCAGUUAUUGGCAGAAUAUGCUUUUUCCUAAUCUCCGUAUAAAAGGAACAUCUAAGGAGCAUGUGACCCACAGUCUCCACUUCUCCUGAGCCGCAGGGACAGAGUCUUUCCAUGAAUGGUAUCCUUUUAUAUUUGCCAUACAGGACCGCAUAUCAGGAAGUUCAAUUUUAUCUCUUGGAGCUUAAAUUUGGAUUUUAAAAAAACCUUUAAACAUGUACUAUGCUUAAAUAUUACAUAUAUUGAAUGACCAAAGCAAGUUGUUUCUGUUAUCAAAGUGGCAGGGAAUGGUCAGAACACCACUGCUCAUUUUUCUUACACUUAAGUUUAAUAUAGUUGUGAUAGCCUAUGUUCUAGCAGUUUAUUUCUAUCUGAUCUUGUUUCCAAUUUUUCUCUCAUUUAACUGAAAACUGAAGAAUGAAAUUUAUUCCUAGGACCUGUAAUAUGGUAUAAUUCUUCCGUCGCGAGCUGAAGACGUGGCUCUUCCGCCAAUUACACUGAUCUGUUUGGGGAUACACUGCAUCCCCAUGGACACCUGAUCAAAAUUCAGACGCUUGGCAACUGAUUCACAUUUACGAUGAUUGCAGUGUCCUGGGAUCAUGUAUGAUCACCUUUUGCGACUUUCUGACAAGCAAAGUCAAUGGGGAAGCCAGAUUCACUUAACAACUAUUACUAACUUAACAACUUCAGUGACUUACUUAACAACUGUGGUAAGAAAGGUUGUAAAAUAAAGCACAAUUCACUUAACGUCUCAUUCAACAACAGAAA